GACGAACGCUGGCGGCGUGCUUAACACAUGCAAGUCGAACGGAAAGGCCCUGCUUUUGUGGGGUGCUCGAGUGGCGAACGGGUGAGUAACACGUGAGUAACCUGCCCUUGACUUUGGGAUAACUUCAGGAAACUGGGGCUAAUACCGGAUAGGAGCUCCUGCUGCAUGGUGUGGGUUGGAAAGUUUCGGCGGUUGGGGAUAGACUGGCGGCUUAUGAGCUUGUUGGUGGGGUAGUGGCUUACCGAGGCUUUGACGGGUAGUCGGCCUGACAGCGUGACCGGCCAACUUGGCACUGAGGUAAGGCGCAGACUCCUACGGGAGGCAGCGAUAGGAAGUGUUGCACAGCGGGCGGAAGCAUGAUGCAGCAACGCCACGAGCGGGAUGACGGCCUGCAGGGUGAAAACCGCGUUAUCUUUUGACGAAGAGGUAGUGACGGUAAUGGGUAUGGAAGCACCGGCUAACUACGUG
rnacentral:rRNA from 1 species